rnacentral:rRNA from 1 species
AUUGAACGCUGGCGGCAUGCCUUACACAUGCAAGUCGAACGGUAACAGGUCUUCGGAUGCUGACGAGUGGCGAACGGGUGAGUAAUACAUCGGAACGUGCCCGAGAGUGGGGGAUAACGAGGCGAAAGCUUUGCUAAUACCGCAUACGAUCUCAGGAUGAAAGCAGGGGACCGCAAGACCUCGCGCGGACGGAGCGGCCGAUGGCAGAUUAGGUAGUUGGUGGGAUAAAAGCUUACCAAGCCGACGAUCUGUAGCUGGUCUGAGAGGACGACCAGCCACACUGGGACUGAGACACGGCCCAGACUCCUACGGGAGGCAGCAGUGGGGAAUUUUGGACAAUGGGCGCAAGCCUGAUCCAGCCAUGCCGCGUGCAGGAUGAAGGCCUUCGGGUUGUAAACUGCUUUUGUACGGAACGAAAAAGCUCUCUCUAAUACAGGGGGUGAAUGACGGUACCGUAAGAAUAAGCACCGGCUAACUACGUGCCAGCAGCCGCCGUAAAAC